rnacentral:rRNA from 1 species
CCUACGGGAGGCAGCAGUGAGGAAUAUUGGUCAAUGGUCGGGAGACUGAACCAGCCAAGCCGCGUGAGGGAGGAAGGCACUGAGUAUUGUAAACCUCUUUUGUCGGGGAACAAAGCCCGGGACGUGUCCCCGGCUGCGUGUAUCCGAAGAAAAAGCAUCGGCUAACUCCGUGCCAGCAGCCGCGGUAAUACGGAGGAUGCGAGCGUUAUCCGGAUUUAUUGGGUGUAAAGGGUGCGUAGACGGUCCGCUAAGUCAGCGGUAAAAUUGCAGGGCUCAACCAUGUACAGCCUUUGAAACUGGGAGACUUGAGUGGGCGAGAGGUACGCGGAAUGCCUGGUGUAGCGGUGAAAUGCGUAGAUAUCACGAAGAACACCGGUUGCGAAGGCAGCUUACUAAACUGUAACUGACAUUGAUGCUCGAAAGCGUGGGUAUCAAACAGGAUUAGAUACCCUUGUAGUC